UACGAAGGGGGCUAGCGUUGCUCGGAAUCACUGGGCGUAAAGGGUGCGUAGGCGGGUCUUUAAGUCAGGGGUGAAAUCCUGGAGCUCAACUCCAGAACUGCCUUUGAUACUGACGAUCUUGAGUUCGGGAGAGGUGAGUGGAACUGCGAGUGUAGAGGUGAAAUUCGUAGAUAUUCGCAAGAACACCAGUGGCGAAGGCGGCUCACUGGCCCGAUACUGACGCUGAGGCACGAAAGCGUGGGGAGCAAACAGG
rnacentral:rRNA from 1 species